AACGAACGCUGGCGGCAGGCUUAACACAUGCAAGUCGAACGCCCCGCAAGGGGAGUGGCAGACGGGUGAGUAACGCGUGGGAAUCUACCCAGUUCUACGGAACAACACAGGGAAACUUGUGCUAAUACCGUAUACGCCCUACGGGGGAAAGAUUUAUCGGAAUUGGAUGAGCCCGCGUUGGAUUAGCUAGUUGGUGAGGUAACGGCUCACCAAGGCGACGAUCCAUAGCUGGUCUGAGAGGAUGAUCAGCCACACUGGGACUGAGACACGGCCCAGACUCCUACGGGAGGCAGCAGUGGGGAAUAUUGGACAAUGGGCGCAAGCCUGAUCCAGCCAUGCCGCGUGAGUGAUGAAGGCCUUAGGGUUGUAAAGCUCUUUCAGUGGGGAAGAUAAUGACGGUACCCACAGAAGAAGCCCCGGCUAACUUCGUGCCAGCAGCCGCAGUAAUAC
rnacentral:rRNA from 1 species